rfam:Tyto alba contig90903, whole genome shotgun sequence.
CCAAAGGCUCUUUUAAGAGCCACCCCCACCUUUUCACAGAAAAGG